AGUCGGUAGCUGGCAGUGGAGGGAGGAGGAGGAGCUCCGACUGUGCUCUUUGACGGCAGUUUUUGUGCCUCUCAGCACUUGUCGUGCGUUUCUUUUUGAAGUAAAACAGCAGGUCCCGGACCUCAUAGACCAUCCAGUUUGGGAGGUGGCGGCAGACUACGGGCUGAGGCCCCAGAUCUGCCUGGGAUCAGGCUGCUUCUACAAGUGCAGGGCCACCCUCAGUAGUGUGGCUGCUAGGGCAGCACAGUUACAGUUUCAUCGAAGGCUCAGGCAGGAGUGGAGAGGAGUGUAGGUGCCCCAUGGGGAAUAUACUGACCUGUUGUGUGUGCCCCAAAGUCAGCUCCAACUGUGGCUGGCCCAGGGGGAAGGCGGCAUCCAGUUAUGAAUCUGAUAUUUAUGAGGCCGUGGCUGCUGCAACAUCAGAAUCCACUACUGUAGAGCCUGGCAAGCUGGGUGUGGGAGCCACGGAGGGCCAAGACCUGCAGCACAUCAGCAACCAAAAGAUGCCCACAGGUUCUGUUCCAGAUCUGGAGGAUUGUGCAUUUGACAUUGUGGAGGAUAUGUUACCUGAAAUGGUCAACUAUAUAGCCGAAAAUUCCUACCGUCCCCCUGAGAACUGCCUGAGUUUAAAAUUUGUACCACCAAGUGAGGAAGACAAUGAGGAUGCCCAGAUUUUACCAUCACGUUUCCAGGAUUCUCCUGAGGACAACCUGAGUUUAGUAAGCCCACCACGAAAUGAAGAUUAUGACGGUGAUGAUGAUGAUGAAGAUGAUGAUGAUGAUGAUGCCCACAUUUUACCAUCACGUUUCCAGGCUUCUGUUGAGGACAACCUGAGUUUAGUAUGCCUACCACGAAGUGAAGAUGAUGACUGUGAUGAUGAUGAUGAUGAUGAUGUUCAGAGUCUCGCUGUAUUGCCCAGGUUGGAGUGCAGUGGCGCGAUCUUGGCUCACAACAAGCUCUGCUUCCCACGUUCAUGCCAUUCUCCUGCGUCAGCCUCCCAAGUAGCUGGGACUACAGGUGCCCGCCACCACACCCGGCUAAUUUUGUGUGUGUGUGUGUUUUUAGUAGAGACGGGGUUUCACCAUGUUAGCCAGGAUGGUCUCAAUCUCCUGAACUCGUGAUCCACCCGCCUCGGCCUCCCAAAGUGCUGGGAUUACAGGCAUGAGCCACCUCUCCCAGUCGAAAGUGAGACUUUUAAUGACAGUGUUGCAAGAACCGGUGUCUGAUGGGCAGACACAUCCAGCAGUUCCAACAAGCAGUUUAUCCCCUAGUGUGCAGGUCCCUUCCCUGGUUCCUCAUAUGCUGAGUAGUAUGGGGUCACCAUCUUCCUGGGUGUUGCCUAUUGAUUGUUGGGGAAGGGCUUUAGGUAUUUUUCUAGGGUUGUCUUACUGCAUUUUGUUGCGGCCCCCAAUGCAUUGCCAUCCUAGUCAGCCUGGGGGCUCUUCAAGUAUUUGACGUAUGACCUAAGUAGCUGGGUAGGCUGAUAAGAACAGACAAAGUGAGCUAUUUUGCAGGGCAGUAAACUUUCUUCUUAGACUCAACUUCUUUGGUUCAAGUGAGGGCAACUAAGUGGGGAGGAGAGGGGGCCCAACAAGCAGGCAUUGCCUAUCCAAGCAGGAGCCCAGCAUAUCCUACUUCUUCUGUUUUUUGCUGACCUAGACCGGUUCAAGACAUUUUGUGUUAAAAAUGGAGCACGGUAUACAUUAUUUCCUUCACCUGAUUUCUUUCCUCCUCCAUUAACUUUGAUAUAAAAAUAUAACAAGUCACGUUAUGUACAACAUACACAAUUGUCUUUGUGAGGAUGUAGUUCAGUGGGAGUUUCUUUUCAUCUAAUACAUGACACACUAGGAUGUUUUUAAAUGACAGCAUCCAUCAUCAACUGUAAUGCAGAGGCAUUUCCUCCACACCAGUUUUUCUCCCUGGAUUAGGCAUUGUGCAUUUACCAAUCUAAAUCAACUUCAAAGAUAAAUUCUGUGGGAAAAGCUCUUGUCUUUUCCACAGGUGUCCUCUAUGCUAGAAUGUUUGGUCUUUGACCCUUGAUUCAGCCACUGUUUCACAACUAGUUUUCUGAAGUGAUCAAGAGACUAACAGAUCUGUGUAAGGGGUGCAGCACAAUUGAUCUGAUCCUCACAGCAUCUUCUUUUGUCUCGUUGCAGAUUUUACCAUCACGUUUCCAGGUUUCUGUUGAGGAUAACCUGAGUUUAAUAUGCCUACCACGAAGUGAAGAUGAGGAUGGGGAUGAUGAUGAUCAUGAUGCCCAGAUUUUACCAUCACCUAUCCAGGCUUGGCCGGAGGACCGCCUGUUUUUAAGAUGCUCACCACAAUACAAAGAUGAAGAUGUUAAUGAUGAUGUUCAUGCCCAUAUAACAGCUCGGAUAGAAAGUGACUUGACGCUGGAGAGUCUAAGUGAUGAGGAGAUUCAUCCAG